rnacentral:tRNA from 1 species
GCGGAUGUAGCUCAGCUGGUUAGAGCGUCGGAUUGUGGCUCCGAAGGCCGUGGGUUCAAGUCCCAUCAUUCGCCCCA